GAGUUUAUCCUGGCUCAGAUUGAACGCUGGCGGCAGGCCUAACACAUGCAAGUCGAGCGGAUGAAGGGAGCUUGCUCCUGGAUUCAGCGGCGGACGGGUGAGUAAUGCCUAGGAAUCUGCCUGGGUAGUGGGGGAUAACGUCCGGAAACGGGCGCUAAUACCGCAUACGUCCUGAGGGAGAAAGUGGGGGAUCUUCGGACCUCACGCUAUCAGACGAGCCUAGGUCGGAUUAGCUAGUUGGUGGGGUAAAGGCCUACCAAGGCGACGAUCCGUAACUGGUCUGAGAGGAUGAUCAGUCACACUGGAACUGAGACACGGUCCAGACUCCUACGGGAGGCAGCAGUGGGGAAUAUUGGACAAUGGGCGAAAGCCUGAUCCAGCCAUGCCGCGUGUGUGAAGAAGGUCUUCGGAUUGUAAAGCACUUUAAGUUGGGAGGAAGGGCAGUAAGUUAAUACCUUGCUGUUUGACGUUACCAACAGAAUAAGCACCGGCUAACUUCGUGCCAGCAGCCGCCGCCGU
rnacentral:rRNA from 1 species